rnacentral:lncRNA from 1 species
GAAUGAGUACGUAUUUAAGUUUAAAACAGCCAGUUCCAUCUUUUUCAUGGAUUCUGCCAAUUAUAGAUCCUUCCAUUAUGAAGAAGAGUAAAGCCAGCAAGUUAACCAGAGCGCAAAGAAACAAGUCAUCUUGUCCUCAGGGACAGAAUUCAACGCCGUCAAAUCUCUCAUAUUGGGAAAGGUUUUAGAGGCUGCCGGCGCGGACCCGGACACAAGGCGGGCGGCGACUAGUGGCUUCACUGGCUGCCUCUCGGCGGUGCGCUUCGGCUGCGCUGCUCCCCUGAAGGCGGC